AUACGUAGGUGGCAAGCGUUGUCCGGAAUUAUUGGGCGUAAAGGGCGCGCAGGCGGCCCGUUAAGUCUGAUGUGAAACAUUGCGGCUCAACCGCAAGCGUGCAUUGGAAACUGGCGGGCUUGAGAGCAGGAGAGGGAGGUAGAAUUCCACGUGUAGCGGUGAAAUGCGUAGAGAUGUGGAGGAAUACCGGUGGCGAAGGCGGCCUUCUGGCCUGCAACUGACGCUGAGGCGCGAAAGCGUGGGGAGCGAACAGGAUUAGAUACCCUGGUAGUCCACGCCGUAAACGAUGAAUGCUAGGUGUUAGGGGGGUCCAACCCCUUAGUGCUGAAGCCAACACAAUAAGCAUUCCGCCUGGGGAGUACGGCCGCAAGGCUGAA
rnacentral:rRNA from 1 species